rnacentral:rRNA from 1 species
UACGGAGGGGGCUAGCGUUGCUCGGAAUUACUGGGCGUAAAGGGCGCGUAGGCGGCGUGAUCAGUCAGGCGUGAAAUUCCUGGGCUUAACCUGGGGGCUGCGCUUGAUACGGUUGUGCUAGAGGGCAGAAGAGGGUCGUGGAAUUCCCAGUGUAGAGGUGAAAUUCGUAGAUAUUGGGAAGAACACCGGUGGCGAAGGCGGCGACCUGGUCUGUUACUGACGCUGAGGCACGAAAGCGUGGGGAUCAAACAGG